CACGUAGGGGGCAAGCGUUGUCCGGAUUUAUUGGGCGUAAAGAGCUCGUAGGCGGCUUGGUAAGUCGGGUGUGAAAACUCCGAGCUCAACUCGGAGACGCCAUCUGAUACUGCCAUGGCCAGAGUCCGGUAGGGGAGCGCAGAAUUCCUGGUGUAGCGGUGAAAUGCACAGAUAUCAGGAGGAAUACCGAUGGCGAAGGCAGCGCUCUGGGCCGGUACUGACGCUGAGGAGCGAAAGCGUGGGUAGCGAACAGG
rnacentral:rRNA from 1 species